GUUCCCAUGAUGUAAUGGAUAGCAUAACUGCCUUCUAAGCAGUUCGUCUAGGUUCGAGUCCUAGUGGGAAUGCCA
rnacentral:tRNA from 1 species